UACAGAGGGUGCGAGCGUUAAUCGGAAUUAUUGGGCGUAAAGGGCGCGUAGGCGGGAGUAUAAGUCAGAUGUGAAAUACCUGGGCUCAACCUGGGAACUGCAUUUGAUACUGUACUGUCUAGAGUGGAGUAGAGGGCAGUGGAAUUUCCGGUGUAGCGGUGAAAUGCGUAGAUAUCGGAAAGAACACCAGUGGCGAAGGCGACUGCCUGGACUCCAACUGACGCUGAGGCGCGAAAGCGUGGGGAGCGAACAGG
rnacentral:rRNA from 1 species